rnacentral:piRNA from 1 species
AUUGAGAAGGCAUGUGCGGACGAUG